rnacentral:rRNA from 1 species
UACGUAGGGGCAAGCGUUAUCCGGAUUUACUGGGUGUAAAGGGAGCGCAGACGGAACUGCAAGUCUGAUGUGAAAGCCCGGGGCUCAACCGCGGGACUGCAUCGGAUACUGUGGAUCUGGAGUGCCGGAGGGGCAAGCGGAAUUCCUGGUGUAGCGGUGAAAUGCGUAGAUAUCAGGAGGAAUACCGGUGGCGAAGGCGGGUCUCUGGGCCUUACCUGACGCUGAGGAGCGAAAGCAUGGGUAGCCAACAGGAUUAGAUACCCU